CAGCAGCCGCGGGAAUACCAGCAGCCCAAGUGGUGGUCGCGAUUAUUGGGCCUAAAGCGCUCGUAGCCGGGCCGGUAAGUCCCUUGUGAAAUCGGACGGCCUAACCGUUCGGCGUGCAAGGGAUACUGUCGGUCUUGAGGCCGGGAGACGUUCGAGGUACUCCGGGGGUAGCGGUGAAAUGUUCUGAUCCUCGGGGGACCACCGGUGGCGAAGGCGUUCGACGAGAACGGGCCUGACGGUGAGGGGCGAAGGCUAGGGGAGCAAACGGGAUUAGAUACCCCAGUAGUCCCUGUCUCUUAUA
rnacentral:rRNA from 1 species